rnacentral:lncRNA from 1 species
CAGCCAGCACUGCUUGCAUUAAUUAAGGUAGAAAAAAAAUACAAAGAUUGUACCAAGAAAAAGAAAUUACAGAGAACAACUCAAGAGGACUUACAACAAACAGCGCCACAAGAAAAACACACGCGUUGCUAGAGAAGCGCUCACGACACCAUCGAAAGGCAUCUCGACACCGAGACAUUACUAAGAGCACAAACAACACCACCCUACUCAGCAGCCAUCAUCACGACCACCGGAGCGAGCAGGUCAACGAGUGCCGCCGUCGCC